rnacentral:lncRNA from 1 species
GUAAACUGUCCUCACCUCCGUCCAGCAGCCACAGGAUGACCAUGCUCUGUGCCCUGGUAACCGAGGAUGUUGGGGCAGAAACAGUAAGGAAUUCCUUUAUCUAAUCCCUAUUUUUCAUCUUGCCCAGGUUCGCCCUGAGGGAGGAUGGGGCCGCACCCAGGACAGAAAAGGCAUAAGUCAGAGGAUGCUGACUGGGGGCCAGCCAGACAUGGUGACCACAGAAGCCGAGACCCUCUCUGCUGGGAGCAGAGUACAAGCCUUAUCCCUAAAUUUAGCCUGUAGCAAUCCUUUAUGUGCAGUCCUGAGGGACCAUGGCACUUCCCAAGGAAGGCAGCCCCGUAGAAUGCGUGGUAGAAGGACCCUCUACCUGGACAGACUUGCACUGGGGGCACUUCCUGUGUGACCUUGACUUCCAGGAGGAGCCUGAUUCCUGCACCAGUGAGCACCUCUUCAUGCAGACGGCAGAGGUCAUGGCCUCCCACGGCUGGAAGAACACAGGUUCUGAGGACCUCUGCACUGGCCACUCUGGAUAGCUCCCCAAAGAGACUGAAAAGGCACACUUCAGGGAGACCCUCAGUGCAUUUGUGGUGGGAGCUGCCGCCAGGCUGAUUAUGUCCAUGGCAAAGGGCCGAAGCCAGGGAUCGAUGCAGAUGUUGGAAAUGUAACCUGCAAGGGUUUCCUGGGAGCUUGGACACUGUGACAUGAUGCCCAGUCCUUGGCUGACUGGGAGCAGAUCUGCAGAAGUGCCGCUGCUGUCACGUGACUGUGGGAGACAUUUGGCAGAUGGUCAGAAGCAGGUCACUGGCUCUGAAUGGGACCAGCAAAAGCAUCGUAUGCGCCUGUGAGUGGCCCCUUUACACUGUACCCUGUCAUGGUCCCAAUUACAUAGAAAUCUGACAGCACUGUAAUUACUGGAGAAAUUCUACAAACAUCUACAAUUCCUGGGAAAGUAUAAACGGCAUCUUGACCUGAAUAGCUUCUAACCAGGAAAGGAUUGUUAAUGUCGCUGGACCAGGGAUUGGAAUGACCCAGAUAAGUUAGAGAUGGGCAACUUUGGCCUCAGCUGGGGCAGCAGUGAUGCAGAUGGCCCCUGGCCAUCAGGGCAGCUCUUUUGCCCGUGCCUGACGACCUCUGACACAUCAUCCCUCAAACCAAGGCUCUGCUUCAGGACAAGGACGUAACUGCCAUCACCUAGGACCCCUGGGCAAGCAGGACUCUGUACUCAGAAAGGAAGGUGGUGUGCACCUCUCUCUGGUGAGGCCAGGGCUGUGGCCAUAGUAAAUCUGCAGGAGAUGGGAGGACUCUGCUCUCACUCUGCCUGGCCUGCUGCUCUGGGCGGAGGCCAAGCUUGUCAGCUGGCCUGCCAGGUUGCCCAGCUCCUCUCUGUGAAGAGGGAGCUUGGGCUCUUGAUCAGGCUUUGGCCUUGAAAACUUGUAUAACAAACCAGACCAUAGAAAAAAAGUGGACUUUAGUGGCCAGGGCUUAGCUAGGCGGCAUAGCAUGUACCAAUCCUGCACAAGGCCCCGGGUUCACACCCCAGUAUCCCCCAAAAUCCAUCUUAAAAUGUACAGUAUACAGUAUACAGUAGUUCCAAUUUCAGAAAAUGUUAUUCAAGGAUAUAGCUGUAUUGCUGCUAAGUGACCAACAGGUGGGCAUUGUAUACGGCAUGGACACACUGGACAAGGACAACAGGUGUCUUGGCGAGGUGGAGCUGCCCAGGCAAGGGCCAUGCAGGGCCUACGGAUCGCCCAUCUCUGGCCUCCCGCUUACCAAUUCUGAAGCACAGUGGGCCACAGUACGGCAGCGGAGAGGGCUUGCAGGUGGAGGUCUGCUGACAUUGUCAGGUGAUGACCCUGCCCCUCCCUCCUCCUCCACCCUCACUUAAAAAGCUGUUUUCUUGAAUAACAUUUUCUGAAGUUGGAACUCUUUUAAAGCAAACAAAAAUCUUACCUGGCUCUCUGUUUACUACNAUGUGGUGCU